UACGAAGGGGGCCAGCGUUGCUCGGAAUUACUGGGCGUAAAGGGCUCGUAGGCGGCCAACUAAGUCAGACGUGAAAUCCCUCGGCUUAACCGGGGAACUGCGUCUGAUACUGGAUGGCUUGAGGUUGGGAGAGGGAUGCGGAAUUCCAGGUGUAGCGGUGAAAUGCGUAGAUAUCUGGAGGAACACCGGUGGCGAAGGCGGCUCACUGGCUCAUUACUGACGCUCAUGCGCGACAGCGUGGGGAUCAAACAGG
rnacentral:rRNA from 1 species